UACGUAGGGUGCGAGCGUUGUCCGGAAUUAUUGGGCGUAAAGAGCUUGUAGGCGGUUUGUCGCGUCUGCUGUGAAAUUUCGGGGCUCAACCCCGAACUUGCAGUGGGUACGGGCAGACUAGAGUGUGGUAGGGGAGACUGGAAUUCCUGGUGUAGCGGUGAAAUGCGCAGAUAUCAGGAGGAACACCGAUGGCGAAGGCAGGUCUCUGGGCCAUAACUGACGCUGAGGAGCGAAAGCGUGGGGAGCGAACAGG
rnacentral:rRNA from 1 species